CUUUUUCUUCUUGGAAUCUCUGAUUUCCUUUACCAAUCCACUCUAGCACGUUCUAAUUUAGUUUCUUCCUGAUUUUUCUUCCCUAUCUGGCCAGUGGCCCAUUUUUUCCCUCCCUCUCCCAAAUUGGCAGGCUGACUCUGGGGUUUUGAGGCUCCAAGAGGAGAGAGUUCAAAAGGUCUGAUGCAUCCAUUUGAUUAUACAAUAUUUGGAGGAAGAGAAAGAAUCCAUCGCCUUUACUAUUUUAAUACAGUGCAUUGGGAAGUAGAAAUUUAGCUCCUUGAGGACAGUGUCUGACUUGGCAAAGGUACUGAACUGGCUUGCCAUUUCCUUCUCCAGCUCAUUUUACAGAUGAGGGAACUGACGCAAACAGAGUGAAGUGA
rnacentral:lncRNA from 1 species